AGAAUCAACGCUGGCGGCGUGCCUAACACAUGCAAGUCGAACGAGAAAGGGGUAGCAAUACCCUGAGUAAAGUGGCGCACGGGUGAGUAACACGUGACUAACCUACCCUGGAGUGGGGGAUAACUGAGGGAAACCUUAGCUAAUACCGCAUAAUACCCACGGGUCAAAGGAGCAAUUCGCUCUGGGAGGGGGUCGCGGCCGAUUAGUUAGUUGGCGGGGUAACGGCCCACCAAGACGAUGAUCGGUAUCCGGCCUGAGAGGGCGCACGGACACACUGGAACUGAAACACGGUCCAGACUCCUACGGGAGGCAGCAGUGGGGAAUUUUGCGCAAUGGGGGAAACCCUGACGCAGCAACGCCGCGUGGAGGAUGAAGUCCUUCGGGACGUAAACUCCUUUCGAUCGGGACGAUUAUGACGGUACCGGAAGAAGAAGCCCCGGCUAACUUCGUGCCAGCAGCCGCGGUAAUACGAGGGGGGCGAGCGUUGUUCGGAAUUAUUGGGCGUAAAGGGUGCGUAGGCGGUUUUGUAAGUCUUAUGUGAAAUCUAUGGGCUCAACUCAUAGACUGCAUGAGAAACUGCAGGGCUCGAGUAUGGGAGAGGUGAGUGGAAUUCCUGGUGUAGCGGUGAAAUGCGUAGAUAUCAGGAGGAACACCUGUGGCGAAAGCGGCUCACUGGACCAUAACUGACGCUGAUGCACGAAAGCUAGGGGAGCAAACAGGAUUAGAUACCCUGGUAGUCCUAGCCCUAAACCAUGAUUGCUUGGUGUGACGGGUACCCAAUCCCGCCGUGCCGUAGCUAACGCGUUAAGCAAUCCGCCUGGGGAGUACGGUCGCAAGGCUGAA
rnacentral:rRNA from 1 species